CCUACGGGAGACAGCAGUGAGGAAUAUUGGUCAAUGGGCGCAAGCCUGAACCAGCCAAGUCGCGUGAGGGAUGACGGUCCUAUGGAUUGUAAACCUCUUUUGUCGGGGAGCAAGGCCCGCCACGUGUGGCGGGAAGGAGAGUACCCGAAGAAAAAGCAUCGGCUAACUCCGUGCCAGCAGCCGCAGUAAUACGGAGGAUGCGAGCGUUAUCCGGAUUUAUUGGGUUUAAAGGGUGCGUAGGAGGAAGGUUAAGUCAGCGGUAAAAUGUCGGUGCUCAACACCGGCCUGCCGUUGAAACUGGUCUUCUUGAGUGAGCGAGAAGUAUGCGGAAUGCGUGGUGUAGCGGUGAAAUGCAUAGAUAUCACGCAGAACUCCGAUUGCGAAGGCAGCAUACCGGCGCUCAACUGACGCUGAGGCACGAAAGCGUGGGGAUCGAACAGGAUUAGAUACCCUGGUAGUC
rnacentral:rRNA from 1 species